UGUAGAGACAGUUAGACCUGAGUAUUUUUAUGCUAGGUUUGCUGAAAAAUGGACGGUCGUGGAGGAAUAUGAUAGGUUUGGGAGUAUGAGUUUUCCUUUCAUGUACACCAAAUAAAUAUGAACACCUUCUUGAUGCCUCUUCCCACAAUGUGUCCUCCUGUGCACGUGCACCCCUGGUGUCUCUCCUUCGACUUAUAAGGACACUAAAUCAGGGGGAGGGUAUAGCUCAGUGGUAGAGCACAUGCUUAGCAUGCACGAGGUCCUGGGUUCAAUCCCCAGUACCUCCUCUAAAAAUAAAUAAACCUAAUUAGCCCCCCACACCAAAAUAAAAUAAUUAAAUAAUACAAUAAUAAAUACAUAAAAUGUUUAAAAAAUAUAAGGACACUAAUCAUAUUUGAUUAAAGUUCACCCUAAUAGCCUCAUUUUAACUUAGUCACCCCUUUACAAGCCCUAUCCCCAAACACUGUUACUUUCUGAGGUACUGGGGGUUAGGGCUUCAACACACUUCAGUCCAUAACUGGAAGUAAUUUCUUGAUAACAAAAAUAGCUAACAUUCACUGAGCAAUUCUUAUAUGCUAUUAAUCAAAAUAAGCACUUUACACAUUUUAACUCAUUUCAUCCUCAUAACAACCUGAUGAGCUAGAUACUUUUAUAAUCCCCAUUCUGCAGAUACAAAGACUGGGGCAGAGAGAGCAUAAGUAACUUGCCCAAGGUCUCACAGCUAGAAGGUGGCAGAGCAAGGAUAUGAAACCAGAUGUCUUGGCUACAAAACCCAAGACACUUUAUAGCAUACAGACAGAAAUGUUUUUUCAGCAGAAAAUCUGCUAUCCCAAAUUGGUUAACUAUGGUUCAGUAUUCUGUCUGUUAUGGACUGAACUGUGCUCCCUAAAAUUCAUAUAUUGAAUCCCUCACCCAUAUUGUGACUAUAUUUGGAGAAAGGGCCUUUAAAGAGAUGAUCAUGGUUAAAAGCAGUCAUAAGAAUGGGACCCUAAUCCAGUAGGAUUAUUGUCUUUACAAGAAGAAGCAGCGACACCAGGGGUGCAUGUGCACAGAGAAAGGCCACGUGAAGAAAGCAGAAACGCAGCCAUCUGCAAGCCAAGGAGAAACCAAACCUGCCAACAUCUUGAACUUGGACUUCCAGCCUCCAGAACUGUGAGAAAAUUAAUUACUAUGGUUUAAGCCACUUAGUCGUGGUAUCUUGUUAUG